rnacentral:rRNA from 1 species
UGGGGGAUAUUGCACAAUGGGGGAAACCCUGAUGCAGCAAUGCCGCGUGAGGGAAGAAGGUCUUCGGAUUGUAAACCUAAGUAGUCAGGGACGAAAAGCGACCGUAAGGUCGCCGUGACGGUACCUGAAGAGUAAGCUCCGGCUAACUACGUGCCAGCAGCCGCGGUAAUACGUAGGGAGCGAGCGUUGUCCGGAUUUACUGGGUGUAAAGGGUGCGUAGGCGGGUGUGCAAGUCAGACGUGAAAUACCGGAGCUCAACUCCGGGGCUGCGUUUGAAACUGUGCAUCUUGAGUGAAGUAGAGGCAGGCGGAAUUCCUAGUGUAGCGGUGAAAUGCGUAGAUAUUAGGAGGAACACCAGUGGCGAAGGCGGCCUGCUGGGCUUUAACUGACGCUGAGGCACGAAAGCAUGGGGAGCAAACA